UACGGAGGCAGCAGUGGGGAAUAUUGCGCAAUGGGCGAAAGCCUGACGCAGCAACGCCGUGUGAGGGAUGAAGGUUUUCGGAUCGUAAACCUCUGUCAGAAGGGAAGAAGUGAUGCGGGUCCAACAGGCCCGUAUCUUGACGGUACCUUCAAGGAAGCACCGGCUAACUCCGUGCCAGCAGCCGCGGUAAU
rnacentral:rRNA from 1 species